CCUACGGGAGGCAGCAGUGGGGAAUAUUGCACAAUGGGCGCAAGCCUGAUGCAGCGACGCCGCGUGAGGGAUGACGGCCUUCGGGUUGUAAACCUCUUUCAGUAGGGAAGAAGCGAGAGUGACGGUACCUGCAGAAGAAGCGCCGGCUAACUACGUGCCAGCAGCCGCGGUAAUACGUAGGGCGCAAGCGUUAUCCGGAUUUAUUGGGCGUAAAGAGCUCGUAGGCGGUUUGUCGCGUCUGCCGUGAAAGUCCGAGGCUCAACCUCGGAUCUGCGGUGGGUACGGGCAGACUAGAGUGAUGUAGGGGAGACUGGAAUUCCUGGUGUAGCGGUGAAAUGCGCAGAUAUCAGGAGGAACACCGAUGGCGAAGGCAGGUCUCUGGGCAUUUACUGACGCUGAGGAGCGAAAGCAUGGGGAGCGAACAGGAUUAGAUACCCUGGUAGUCCAUGCCGUAAACGUUGGGCACUAGGUGUGGGGGACAUUCCACGUUUUCCGCGCCGUAGCUAACGCAUUAAGUGCCCCGCCUGGGGAGUACGGCCGCAGGCAAACUCAAAGGAAUUGACGG
rnacentral:rRNA from 1 species